rnacentral:rRNA from 1 species
CCCUUAGAUGUUCUGGGCUGCACGCGCGCUACACUGAUGCACUCAACGAGUUUACGACCUUGCCCGAUAGGGUUGGGUAAUCUUUUUAAAAUGCAUCGUGAUGGGGAUAGAUUAUUGCAAUUAUUAAUCUUCAACGAGGAAUUCCUAGUAAGCGCGAGUCAUCAGCUCGUGCUGAUUACGUCCCUGCCCUUUGUACACACCGCCCGUCGCUCCUACCGAUUGAGUGCUCAGGUGAAUAAUUCGGACUGCAGGAAUGUUUGGAUCCCGAACGUUGCAGCGGAAAGUUUAGUGAACCUUAUCACUUAGAGGAAGGAGAAGUCGUAACA